rnacentral:rRNA from 1 species
UGCAGUCGAGCGGACAGAUGGGAGCUUGCUCCCUGAUGUUAGCGGCGGACGGGAGAGUAACACGUGGGUAACCUGCCUGUAAGACUGGGAUAACUCCGGGAAACCGGGGCUAAUACCGGAUGGUUGUUUGAACCGCAUGGUUCAGACAUAAAAGGUGGCUUCGGCUACCACUUACAGAUGGACCCGCGGCGCAUUAGCUAGUUGGUGAGGUAACGGCUCACCAAGGCGACGAUGCGUAGCCGACCUGAGAGGGUGAUCGGCCACACUGGGACUGAGACACGGCCCAGACUCCUACGGGAGGCAGCAGUAGGGAAUCUUCCGCAAUGGACGAAAGUCUGACGGAGCAACGCCGCGUGAGUGAUGAAGGUUUUCGGAUCGUAAAGCUCUGUUGUUAGGGAAGAACAAGUGCCGUUCAAAUAGGGCGGCACCUUGACGGUACCUAACCAGAAAGCCACGGCUAACUACGUGCCAGCAGCCGCGGUAAUACGUAGGUGGCAAGCGUUGUCCGGAAUUAUUGGGCGUAAAGGGCUCGCAGGCGGUUUCUUAAGUCUGAUGUGAAAGCCCCCGGCUCAACCGGGGAGGGUCAUUGGAAACUGGGGAACUUGAGUGCAGAAGAGGAGAGUGGAAUUCCACGUGUAGCGGUGAAAUGCGUAGAGAUGUGGAGGAACACCAGUGGCGAAGGCGACUCUCUGGUCUGUAACUGACGCUGAGGAGCGAAAGCGUGGGGAGCGAACAGGAUUAGAUACCCUGGUAGUCCACGCCGUAAACGAUGAGUGCUAAGUGUUAGGGGGUUUCCGCCCCUUAGUGCUGCAGCUAACGCAUUAAGCACUCCGCCUGGGGAGUACGGUCGCAAGACUGAAACUCAAAGGAAUUGACGGGGGCCCGCACAACCGGUGGAGCAUGUGGUUUAAUUCGAAGCAACCCGAAGAACCUUACCAGGUCUUGGAAUCCCUUGACAACC